rnacentral:precursor_RNA from 1 species
GCCUAAGCCUAAGCCUAAGCCUAAGCCUAAGCCUAAGCCUAAGCCUAAGCCUAGCAUAAGCCUAAGCAUAAGCCUAAGCCUAAGCCUA